rnacentral:lncRNA from 1 species
AGAAUUUCUGCGGCCGUUUCCUUAUUCUUCUGCUCAAACUUUCCCUUGACUGCCGCCAAAACCCCUCGUACUCCUUCACAAGAGAGACACGAGCUAGAUGGAGAUCUUUGCAAGCUUUCUUAUCUCGACCCUCGAUCUCUCGCCUAUACUUCUCCUCCAUCGAGUUAAGGUCGCUCUGAGCAAUGAUCUUUUCCGCCGCCAUCUUCUUCCUCAACUCCUCAAAAUCCACUUCGCGCUGUCUCUCUACUUCCCGAGCACUUUCCAGCUCGCCCCAAGCUGUUGGAUCGUGAGAAGAUAACCAGCGAUCUCUUCUUUACUAGGAAAAUUUGCCAAUCCCCCCUCCAUUAAAGGGGCAUAGUCAUUGCUCGCCUCCAUAGCCUAAGCAAAAACGAUAGCGUCAAAACUAAGCAUUCCACUCCUUAAAGAGUCAAACGAAGAUAACAUACCUUGGCAUUUGCGACUGCCAUC